UAAGAGCCCUUAAGAACUUCAAUUGUUGGCUUGACUUCAAAACGACCAUCUUCCACCUGAAUUCAUCAAGAAUGGAUUCAUAUAAAUAUAAUAUCAUCUUAGCACUAGAUUUUUACACAUUCACACCUAGUUUAGGUUUACGGGGUGUUACAUUAACUGGGUUUCCGGGCAAAUUGCCGGAAAUGGCUCUUUCCUUAUGCUUCCUUCUCAAUUCUCUAACUCUCUCUAUUCUAUGUUUACAAAAGACAUUCUUUCUGGUUCUCUGAAUAUGAGAUUUUUUUUCCCUUUAAUUUUCCUUAUUAAAAUUAGACUUCUGCUAUUAAUUUUGCAAAGCUCCAUCUUGGUUGACUACAUUUGCACAAGUAGAUGCCCUUGUGAUGCAAGAAGAAGCAUGGCAUGCAUAAAUGUAGAUCAGGUUCAUCUUCUUACUUGCAAUUAAUGUUCUUUCUUUCUUAGUAUCCAAGUCUUCGUUUUGCAUUCGUACUAACCUAUUUACUGGUUUUUAUCGGACAAGUAUCACCAUUCAAUGGAGUUGUUAAGUUCCCUAUAUUUUACGGAGUUCUUUAUGAGCAUGGACAUCAUCCAUACAACUGACAAUGGAGACUCUGAGAAUGAUUCAUUGGUAUUCGAGCAGUCAAGAUCUCCUAAAGAUAGACCUGAAGUCAACUCCUUAGUAGAAAUCCAUAUGAUCAUUAUUUCUAGGAUUGUCGAUAAAUUAGUUAUUCUAUGUAAUUAGUCAUUCAUCUUUGAUAUGAAAGUUUUAAUGUCUAGCAACUCUUAGGGCUCGUUUGGUUGGGAACAACUUAUCCCGGGAUAAGUUAUCCCGGGAUUAAUUAUUCCACCCUCAAGGUGGGACAAAAUAAGGCUACAAUCCCGGGAUAACUAAUCCCGGGGUUAGUUAUCCCGGAUUUUUAUUCCAACCAAACAUGGGAUAAAGAGGCACUAAAAUUUUAUCCCGGGACUAUUUUUGCUUAUCCUUCACACCAAAUGACCCCUUAAAGAAACUAUAGAAAAUAUUUAGCCAAUGAUUUCCACAAAGA